UUCCGUAGGGGCUGCGGAGGGAUCAUUACUGAGUUUACGCUCUAUAACCCUUUGUGAACAUACCUAUAACUGUUGCUUCGGCGGGUAGGGUCUCCGCGACCCUCCCGGCCUCCCGCCUCCGGGCGGGUCGGCGCCCGCCGGAGGAUAACCAAACUCUGAUUUAACGACGUUUCUUCUGAGUGGUACAAGCAAAUAAUCAAAACUUUUAACAACGGAUCUCUUGGUUCUGGCAUCGAUGAAGAACGCAGCGAAAUGCGAUAAGUAAUGUGAAUUGCAGAAUUCAGUGAAUCAUCGAAUCUUUGAACGCACAUUGCGCCCGCCAGCAUUCUGGCGGGCAUGCCUGUUCGAGCGUCAUUUCAACCCUCAAGCUCUGCUUGGUGUUGGGGCCCUACAGCUGAUGUAGGCCCUCAAAGGUAGUGGCGGACCCUCCCGGAGCCUCCUUUGCGUAGUAACUUUACGUCUCGCACUGGGAUCCGGAGGGACUCUUGCCGUAAAACCCCCCAAUUUCCAAGGUACCUCGAUCAGAGA
rnacentral:rRNA from 1 species